rnacentral:lncRNA from 8 species
CAAAAAUUAAGAAAAACCCUGGAAUGAGAAGGUGUCCAAACUUUUGACUGGUACUGUAGGUCAAAUGUUAACCCUGGGCGGUGCAGGCAAAGCACGUAUUAGUCCCUGACUCACACACUCACUCACGUGCAUACACACAACGGGACUCUCACUCAUGUGCAUACACACAACGGGAGUCACACACUCUCACUCACGUGCAUACACACAACAGCACACACACACAGAGAGAGACAGAUACACACAUGCAUGUGCAGCGGCGGGUAGCCUAGUGGUUAGCGCGUUGGGCCAGUAAACCGAAAGGUUGCUGGAUCGAAUCCUCGAGCUGACCAACUGUUCUAGGUAUCCCGCUUUUCCACGGGUGUCGAAGACGUGGAUGUCGAUUAAGGCAGCCCCCACACCUCUCUGAUCAGAGGGGUUGGGUUAAAUGCGGAAGACAAAUUUCAGUUGUACAACUGACUAGGUAUCCCACUUUUCCUCACACACACACACACACACACACACAAAUACACACACACACACAGUUGACACACACUUCCUCUGUGGCGUCUCCCUCCUGCAGCACAUCCUCCUCCUAGCCUGCUCCAGCUCUCCUCUGUGAUGCUUCCGUAGCCAUGUCUCUGCUGUGGCGUUAACUGCCUGAGAUGCAGUUCUGCAGAGAGGUGUUCUGUCAGCCCUGUAGCACCACUACAGCCACAUCGCCUGUACUAGAUGAUAUGGAAUGGAGGAUGGGGAGCUGUAUAGGAAUCGCACCACGCAGCAGUAGCCAGCCAGCUCCAGCUGAUGUGACAGGGCUAAGGCUUGGGCACCACAGUCCUGCCUUCCUGCCCUGAAGCCCUCUGAUCCACCAUGGGGAAUGAGACCAGCGCCAUCGCGGCUGAAGCACCGGUAAGACCAGGGAUGGCAGAGACUUACUGAUUGGCUGGCUACCAUAGGCUGCUACUACCAGCUAUAAUCUGUGCUGUUAGAUGCUGCUAUCUUGUAGUCUGUUCCCAGGUCUGUUUUUGCUGUUUAAGUGUUUCUGUAUUCCAGUAGCUCACUGUUUACACAGUGAUAAUAAACUUGUGUGAUUGUGUGUAUGGUAUUUUGCUCAUGCAUUUUGGAUAGAAAGCAGUAGCCUAUUGUUUUGGACAUUUAACUGCACCAACACUGCACUAAUCCAUCUGAAAAUGAAAAAAACACAUCCAGUGAUUUCCCUGAAGGAGGGUGUUACUCACAGUGAGGGGGACGGGGGUAUUACAGUCUGUCUGUAGACUAGUAUCGGG